AAGGCUCCAGCUUGCUGGAGUGCUCGAGUGGCGAACGGGUGAGUAACGCGUGGGCAAUCUGCCCUGCACUCUGGGAUAAGCCUGGGAAACUGGGUCUAAUACCGGAUAGGACCUUUCUCCUCAUGGGGUUUGGUGGAAAGUUUUUCGGUGCAGGAUGAGCCCGCGGCCUAUCAGCUUGUUGGUGGGGUAAUGGCCUACCAAGGCGACGACGGGUAGCCGGCCUGAGAGGGUGAUCGGCCACAUUGGGACUGAGAUACGGCCCAGACUCCUACGGGAGGCAGCAGUGGGGAAUAUUGCACAAUGGGCGAAAGCCUGAUGCAGCGACGCCGCGUGAGGGAUGACGGCCUUCGGGUUGUAAACCUCUUUCAGUAGGGACGAAGCGCAAGUGACGGUACCUGCAGAAGAAGCACCGGCUAACUACGUGCCAGCAGCCGCGGUAAUACGUAGGGUGCGAGCGUUGUCCGGAAUUACUGGGCGUAAAGAGCUCGUAGGCGGUUUGUCACGUCGUCUGUGAAAUCCUAGGGCUUAACCCUGGACGUGCAGGCGAUACGGGCUGACUUGAGUACUACAGGGGAGACUGGAAUUUCUGGUGUAGCGGUGGAAUGCACAGAUAUCAGAAAGAACACCGAUG
rnacentral:rRNA from 1 species